CACUUGUUAACGAGUCCCAAAUAGGACGAAACGCGCGUCAAACUG
rnacentral:hammerhead_ribozyme from 1 species